UACGUAGGGGGCGAGCGUUGUCCGGAUUCAUUGGGCGUAAAGAGCGUGUAGGCGGCCAGGUAGGUCUGCUGUGAAAACUCGAGGCUCAACCUCGAGAUGUCGGCAGAAACCCUCUGGCUAGAGUCCGGAAGAGGAGAGUGGAAUUCCUGGUGUAGCGGUGAAAUGCGCAGAUAUCAGGAAGAACACCCGUGGCUAAGGCGGCUCUCUAGUACGGUACUGACGCUGAGACGCGAAAGCGUGGGGAGCGAACAGG
rnacentral:rRNA from 1 species